rnacentral:rRNA from 1 species
AACGUAGGUACCGAGCGUUAUCCGGAUUUACUGGGCGUAAAGCGCGUUCAGGCGGUUUGGCAAGUCGGGCAUGAAAUCUCUCGGCUCAACCGGGAGAGGUUGUCCGAUACUUCCAGACUUGAGGGCAGUAGAGGGUGGUGGAAUUCCGGGUGUAGUGGUGAAAUGCGUAGAUAUCCGGAGGAACACCGGUGGCGAAGGCGGGUCUCUGGGCAAUUCCUGACGCUGAGGCGCGAAAGCGUGGGGAGCAAACGGG